GACGAACGCUGGCGGCGUGCUUAACACAUGCAAGUCGAACGGAAAGGCCCUGCUUGCAGGGUACUCGAGUGGCGAACGGGUGAGUAACACGUGGGUGAUCUGCCCUUCACUUCGGGAUAAGCUUGGGAAACUGGGUCUAAUACCGGAUAGGAGCCAUCUUUAGUGUGGUGGUUGGAAAGUUUUUUCGGUGUAGGAUGAGCUCGCGGCCUAUCAGCUUGUUGGUGGGGUAAUGGCCUACCAAGGCGGCGACGGGUAGCCGGCCUGAGAGGGUGUACGGCCACAUUGGGACUGAGAUACGGCCCAGACACCUACGGGAGGCAGCAGUGGGGAAUAUUGCACAAUGGGCGCAAGCCUGAUGCAGCGACGCCGCGGGGGGGAGGAAGGCCUUCGGGUUGUAAACACCUGUCGCUAGGGACGAAGCUUUGUUGUGACGGUACCUAGAGAAGAAGCACCGGCUAACUACGUG
rnacentral:rRNA from 1 species